rnacentral:rRNA from 1 species
UACAGAGGGGGCAAGCGUUAUUCGGAAUUAUUGGGCGUAAAGGGCGCGUAGGCGGCUUUGCAAGUGACGGGUGAAAUCCCUCGGCUUAACCGAGGAACUGCCUGUCAAACUGCAUGGCUUGAGACCGGGAGAGGUGAGUGGAAUUCCCAGUGUAGCGGUGAAAUGCGUAGAUAUUGGGAGGAACACCAGUGGCGAAGGCGGCUCACUGGACCGGUACUGACGCUGAUGCGCGAAAGCGUGGAUAGCAAACAGG